rnacentral:rRNA from 1 species
UAAAACCAGCACCUCAAGUGGUCAGGAUGAUUAUUGGGCCUAAAGCAUCCGUAGCCUGCUUUGUAAGUUUUCGGUUAAAUCCAUAUGCUCAACAUAUGGGCUGCCGGGAAUACUGCAAAGCUAGGGAGUGGGAGAGGUAGACGGUACUCGGUAGGAAGGGGUAAAAUCCUUUGAUCUAUUGAUGACCACCUGUGGCGAAGGCGG